UACGGGGGGGGCAAGCGUUGUUCGGAAUUACUGGGCGUAAAGGGCGCGUAGGCGGUUCGGCUAAGUCGGAUGUGAAAACUCUGGGCUCAACCCAGAGCCUGCAUCCGAAACUGGCGGGCUAGAGUUCUGGAGGGGGUAGCGGAAUUCCUGGUGUAGCGGUGAAAUGCGUAGAUAUCAGGAGGAACACCUGCGGUGUAGACGGCUUUCUGGACCAUUGUUGACGCUGAGACACGAAAGCGUGGGUAGCAAACAGG
rnacentral:rRNA from 1 species